UACGUAGGGGGCAAGCGUUGUCCGGAUUUAUUGGGCGUAAAGAGCGUGUAGGCGGCCAAGCAGGUCCGCUGUGAAAACUCGAGGCUCAACCUCGAGACGUCGGUGGAAACCGUUUGGCUAGAGUCCGGAAGAGGAGAGUGGAAUUCCCGGUGUAGCGGGUGAAAUGCGCAGAUAUCGGGAAGAACACCCGUGGCGAAGGCGGCUCUCUGGGACGGUACUGACGCUGAGACGCGAAAAGCGUGGGGAGCGAACAGG
rnacentral:rRNA from 1 species